rnacentral:rRNA from 1 species
UUAAGCAUAUCACUAAGCGGAGGAAAAGAAACUAACAAGGAUUCCCCUAGUAACUGCGAGUGAAGAGGGAAAAGCCCAGCACCGAAGGUAGUAUCCGUUUGGGUACCUACCAAUGUGGUGUUUUGGUCAGCUUGUAUGAGUGCGGCUCCAUCUCAAGUCCAGCAAUGAGUACGGUUUUUUGGACUUGGCCCAGAGCGGGUGAAAGGCCCGUUGAGGUGGAGAUCAGAAAUGACCGCGCUUGUCGAGUUUGACCAUGGAGUCGGGUUGUUUGUGAAUGCAGCCCUAAGUGGGUGGUAAACUCCAUCCAAGGCUAAAUACUUGCACGAGUCCGAUAGCGAACAAGUACCGUGAGGGAAAGUUGAAAAGUACUUUGAAGAGAGAGUAAACAGUGCGUGAAGCCGCAUAGAGGUUAAACGGGUAGAGUUAAGCUGCGUGGGUCAUGGAUUCAGCUGAUGAAUUUGACUUGUGCUUGGGCACAUUGUAUCGUCUUCAAAGUCUGCUUAGCUGCAGGUUCCGGGUCCCCCUGGAAUAUGCGAUGCACUUACUGGGUGCUGCAUGCUUAGUUGAUGAGAUGUCAGUUUGUCGGUGCACUUCCAUGGCUCCUUGACCACGAUCGGUGUCGUUGAAUUGCCCUCGUUGUCAAACUGUGGAUGUAGGCCUAAACCUAUGUCCUCGGUGUGACAGCACCCCUGUGAAUGCAGGUCGCAGUUGUCAGCGGGAAGUAAUUCAGUGGACCGGGACGGCGGCCUUGGUUACCCUUGCAUGCUCUUCUAGAUGAUGAUGGGUAUGGUUAACGUGUGCCUGUGCAAACAGGCCCGUUGACUACACAUUGUUGUCUAGUUGAGUUUUGUUUGGGAAACCUUCUCAUGGGCCAAAGUCAGUGGUGUGUGGUAAACUUUCUACCCGACCCGUCUUGAAACACGGACCAAGGAGUUUAACAUGUGCGCGAGUCAUUGGGCCAUCCGUAACCCAAAGGCGAAGUGAAAGUGAAGGUUUGCUUGUGCAAACUGUGGUGAGAUCCUGUCGUCUCCUGUGCCACCAAGCAUUCGAACGGCAGGCGCAUCACCGGUCCGUCCAAUAAUGUGGUUGAAGUCAAUGGUUUCACAUCAUUGGGGCGGAACAUGAGCGCACACGUUGAGACCCGAAAGAUGGUGAACUAUGCUUGCGCAGGUUGAAGCCAGGGGAAACCCUGGUGGAGGACCGCAGCGAUUCUGACGUGCAAAUCGAUCGUCAAACGUGAGUAUAGGGGCGAAAGACUAAUCGAACCAUCUAGUAGCUGGUUCCCUCC